rnacentral:rRNA from 1 species
AUUGAACGCUGGCGGCAGGCCUAACACAUGCAAGUCGAGCGGAUGAAGGGAGCUUGCUCCUGGAUUCAGCGGCGGACGGGUGAGUAAUGCCUAGGAAUCUGCCUGGUAGUGGGGGAUAACAUCCGUAAACGGGCGCUAAUACCGCAUACGUCCUGAGGGAGAAAGUGGGGGAUCUUCGGACCUCACGCUAUCAGAUGAGCCUAGGUCGGAUUAGCUAGUUGGUGGGGUAAAGGCCUACCAAGGCGACGAUCCGUAACUGGUCUGAGAGGAUGAUCAGUCACACUGGAACUGAGACACGGUCCAGACUCCUACGGGAGGCAGCAGUGGGGAAUAUUGGACAAUGGGCGAAAGCCUGAUCCAGCCAUGCCGCGUGUGUGAAGAAGGUCUUCGGAUUGUAAAGCACUUUAAGUUGGGAGGAAGGGCAGUAAGUUAAUACCUUGCUGUUUUGACGUUACCAACAGAAUAAGCACCGGCUAACUUCGUG